rnacentral:rRNA from 1 species
CAGGGGUCACCUGAGAAACCCGAAGGUCGAAUGGGGAAAUUCAUUCGCGUUUCGACUAUGGAGUAGAAUGAUUAUUGCGACGGCAUAGUGGAACUUGUUCCGCUGCUGCGCUUUUCGUUCGUCUUGCCGUCGUCGAACGCGUGCACUUUUCCCCUAGUAGGACGUCGCGAUCCGUUGGGUGUUUGUCUAAAAAUCGGAGUGGUGCCCACGAGUCGUUUACGCGUCACGUGGACCUCUGAAUUUUCGACAAACUCGCUCGACGGUAUACUAAAGGCGCGAGGCCGCUAGUAACAGAAUUAGCGUUCGGCCCGUAGCAAGCACGUACCGUUUUGACGGCGAUCGGACCUAGUGCCGAUUCUGUCGCGGGACGACUGUUGGUUUACGGUGUUCUCGAACAGACCUCGUUGAAACGCCAAUCGGCGACGCUAUAGCUUUGGGU